CGCGUAGGCGGUCUUGUCGGUCAGAUGUGAAAGCCCGGGGCUCAACCCUGGAAGUGCAUUUGAAACAGCAAGACUUGAAUACUGGAGAGGAGAGCGGAAUUCCUGGUGUAGAGGUGAAAUUCGUAGAUAUCAGGAGGAACACCGAUGGCGAAGGCAGCUCUCUGGACAGAUAUUGACGCUGAGGCGCGAAGGUGUGGGUAGCGAACAGGAUUAGAUACCCUGGUAGUAC
rnacentral:rRNA from 1 species